GCUGGGCAUGGUGGCACAUGCCUGUAAUCCCAUCAGCUUGGGAGGCUGAGGCAGGAGGAUUGCAAGUUCAAAGCCAGCCUCAGCAACUUAGCAAGGCCCUGUCUCAA
rnacentral:sRNA from 1 species